rnacentral:sRNA from 1 species
UCUGAAGAGAAGACUGAGUUUGCUUCCGCUGGGUAAUCUAUUUCAGCUCCAAUGUCUUGUCCACGUGUAGGUGGAAAAAUUUGACUUUUUGAGUCAUCGCUACGGUUAAACCUCCUAUUGUCAUGAUCAAUGUCAUUUGCGCUGAUGUUUCUAUUUCCAUGCCUCUUCAUUGAGUUUUGGGGGGAUAAAAGGAAAGAAGGCUCCUCAUUGUGGUGAAAGUAAGAUUUCAAAUUAGGCAUUGAAAGAAACCUUUUGAAGGAUUUUGGGGUCUUUAAUGUAGAAUUUGCCUUUUGUUCUUUGAUUCUUGAGUUUUCAACCCUAGGAUACUUGGCUUCACUAUUAAAACAAGUAUCGUACAACUGCGAAUAUCUUCCAAUUGAUUCUUUUAGAGAAGAAUUCCUCAUGGGUGAUCGUUGACGCUUGUUGAAUGACAUAGAAGAGAGACGGCUCUGAAAACCACUUGUUGAACUUUCUUCACCUUCCCCAUUGACUGUGGGAUCUUUGGACAUGUGAUGAAUCAACUUCUUCAUAUUUUUUGUAAGUCUCUUUCCCCGAGGAAUUUUGUCAAGUAUGGCAUCCAUGGUAAUGCGACGCCUUUCAUUUCUUCCCUCUUCAAUUAAGCGCCUCAUCUUAUUUCUAAGAUCCUUGAAGUGACUAGUUCUCACAUUGUUGGGAACCUGGGGUGAAACUGGUGACGAAUUAGGAUCUCUUUCACCUACUCGAUCGAAAUUAUGCGAAGAACUAGACGGUAAACAGUAAUAUGAUGAGGUAGAUACAGGAAAUGAAAGAGAUCUGGUUCGUCUAAUAUUAGCUUUCGAAGAUUGUUGGCGAUUAGUGUGAAAUGGCAAAGGAGAACCUGGAUCCUGUAUAUAUUCCAAUAGAAAGUUCUUGUUUGCGUUUAUCACAUCCAAUGCAUCAAGAAAGUCCCUGAAGUGGUGGGGUGAAGCAUCAGUUGUGAGUAUCUUGGCAUUAAACAACUUCUCUUCCGGGCCAUCUUGAAUAGGAGAGCUCAAGUGUUUAUGAAUCUUGCUUUGCUCCAAAGUGUCACUGGAAAACAAUGUACCACAAGCUACGCAUUUGUCAUUGUUGGCAAUUGGUUUAUCAGAGAAAACUGGUGAUAACACAUCCAGUGUGCCUUCUUCAAGAUGGUUCUGAAAGGUUCUUAGAACUGGUUCAGGGCUCUCAACAGUUAGUAACAAUUCACUAAGUGGGUCAACCUCCAAGUUGUGAACAGAAUCAGCAUGAGGUAUUUGCAGUGAUGUCUUUGCAGGGCAAGUUGAGCUUCUCUUGUGUCGACCUUUCCUUUUGUAUAUAUCUUCAUUGAGAAGUGACCUAAAUCGGGAUUUGAUAGAAGAACUUUUGGAUGGAGAAGGGGACUGUACCAAACAUCAAAUUAGAUUUUACUUUUACAAUGUUCCCCUUAUCAACACAAAAAAAACAUGUAAUGCU